rnacentral:rRNA from 1 species
GACGAACGCUGGCGGCGUGCUUAACACAUGCAAGUCGAACGGAAAGGCCCUGCUUUUGUGGGGUGCUCGAGUGGCGAACGGGUGAGUAACACGUGAGUAACCUGCCCUUGACUUUGGGUUAACUUCCGGAAACUGGGGCUAAUACCGGAUAGGAGCUCCUACUGAAUGGUGGGGGUUGGAAAGUUUCGGCGGUUGGGGAUGGACUCGCGGCUUAUCAGCUUGGUGGUGGGGUAGUGGCUUACCAAGGCUGUGACGGAUAGCCGGCCUGAGAAGGUGGCCGGCCACAUUGGGACUGAGAGACGGCCCAGACGCCUACUGGAGGCAGCAGGGGAGAAUAUUGCACAAUAAGCGGAAGCGUGAGGCAGCAACGCCGCGGUCGUGAAGACGUCUUUCGGGGUGUAAACCGCUUGCGCCUGUGACGAAGCGUGAAUGACGGUAAUGGGUAAAGAAGCACCGGCUAACUACGUG